AGGAUUAUAAUUUAAUUAAAAUAUUUGAUUUGCAAUCAAAAAAUAUUGUAUGUCAAUUUAUCUU
rnacentral:tRNA from 1 species